UCUGGGGGGAGGGCGGGGGGAGAGGCCGGUUCACGGAGGCUCCGGGGCCCGGCGGGCAGGCCCACCGUGCAGGGGCCGCGGGGCGGGCGGCGCUGGGCCCGCAGGGGGCGCCCCCGAAGCACCUGUUGAAUGACGGGCGCUCGCCCCGUGGGUGCCCGAACGCCGCCCUCCGCGCCCCGCCCGGGCCAGGGGUCCCGUGGCCGCCCCGCCCCCGCCCGUCGGGUCUGCGCCGCGCCCCCGUCGCGGAUCCGGGCCUGCCCGGGGAGAGGCGCGGCCCGGCCGCCUCGGGCGCUCGAGGAGGGGGAGUCGAAGGCGCGAAGAGCCGCCGGAGCGGCCGCGGCCCGCCGGCCCCCGCCCCGCGGCCCUCUCCUCACCCUCGUAGAGCUCCAGGACGGUGCCCGGCACAUCAUAGGCACACGGCGUGCCAACUGAACCGGACCCCGCUGUGUGGGUCCGACUCUACAAGGACCCCUCCGGGUUCCUGCCUCCUGGGAUUUAUGUGCUAGAGACCUGCUCCUACCAACAGAACAUGGCAAAGGAGCUGACCCUGAGUAAGGGCAUGUGUGCAAGUUCCUUUGGGAGGUGAUGCCAAGACACACCGAGGAGGGAGCCGGACAAUGAGCAGUGAUGUGAAGCUCCCGGCAUGCCACAGCUGGGUGAAGAGCUGGACAGCGAUGUGCGGGCCGGGCUCCCGUGAGCUGGUGUGAGCCGUGGGACCGCAAGCUGCGCAGAGAAGGAAGGCGCUGGCAAAACGUGCAAAAUCAAGCCAGUGUCACCGUGAGCCACCAGAGCCCAACGCCGCUGGGGACGGCUGGGAGUGUGUGGAACAGAUGCCCCUGAGUCACCCCUUCGAGGCAGAGGGCCCGGGGCACCUGCCCACCAACGCCCCAACCAUCAUUGGCUCAGGCUGCCCCCCAGGGCCGGAGGGGGGGUGGGAGGGGGAGGGAACUCAGUGGGCUUCUGGUCAGGGCUCUGGGUAGCAGAGGAAGACACACAGGGCUGGACAUUGCAAGUUGGGCCCACGCGCGUGAAAAUAGUAGGUCUGCUGAGGUGUUCGUGGGUGUAUGCUGGGCCUUGAGCCUCACGCCUGGGGCGUGUGGGGGUGUCAGUCCAGAGAACUCGGCUCCUGGCUCUCCCCCGGGACAGACACACUGCUCGCAGCCUGUGUUCCCCACGACUUCGUACUCGGGUCCUUCACGGGAAGAGCGGGGAAGAGCGGGGAAGAGGGGUGAGAGGCGGAGGCGGGAGGAAGUACCACCCACGGCCCAGGAGCCAGCAGCCUCUCCCACUGCCCGCUCCUCGCACGGAAGUAGGUCACACGGAAGAACUCCGCGUCCCCGUCAAAGUUUCAGGCAGAAACAAUAACUUGGUUUUGACCUUGCUCUUCAGAAAGCAAGUCGCUGCUGAGCUGCAACAUCAAAAAGAAUAAAUAAUUGUUUUCCUUUCUUGUUGUGAUGAUAGGAUCAUCCGAGUGGUUAGUGGGAAGCAGGCGGCUUUGAUUCAACUCUGGCUCCCCAGUGCUCCGGCCUCUGUGUGUCAGCGGGCUCCUGUUUCACCCCAGGACAGCAGAAUCCCUUGAUUAAAUUCAUAUUUGUUUUAA